rnacentral:rRNA from 1 species
GGUAACCAAAUCGGUGCUGCUUUCUGGCAGACUAUCUCUGGCGAGCACGGCCUGGACGGCUCCGGCGUCUACAAUGGCACCUCCGACCUCCAGCUGGAGCGCAUGAACGUCUACUUCAACGAGGCAUCCAACAAUAAGUACGUUCCUCGUGCUGUCCUCGUUGACCUCGAGCCCGGCACCAUGGAUGCCGUCCGCGCCGGCCCCUUCGGCCAGCUCUUCCGUCCCGACAACUUCGUUUUCGGCCAGUCUGGUGCCGGUAACAACUGGGCCAAGGGUCACUACACUGAGGGU